ensembl:lncRNA
AGUUGGGAAGGCCCUGCAGAGUUAUACAGAGACAAAAGACGAGGCAACAGGAUGAGGGCUGUCCUGGGAGGGGGCACAACUUUGGGCAAAGCGGCUCUUUUCAGCCAGGGUAAUUCCCAAAGAAGGCCGACAGCUGAGGCUGUGUUGGCAGCACUCCCAGCGCCAGGGGGAAUGAGCCCUUGAGCUCUGAAGGGGAGCCUAUGGUGCAGCACAGUGAGGACUCAGCUGGUCCUCUUGGCCCUGGCGCCCUCCUUCUGGUCCCUGCGGCCUGCUUUCUGCAUUUUGGACUCAACUCAGACAUUGGGGUGGUCCCUGGUGUGGCGGAUCACACCAGCCGACUGCCUCAAAACCCGUCUCUCCUUCUUCCUUACAAACCAUGACUAUGUUCAGGCAGCUAGAGGUGGCCAGGCAGCAUAGCCCUGGCCAGCUAGACUGAGUGGAAAUCUACUGGGGAUCCCUGUGAAAUUAUUCUUUUCUCAUAUUAUUGCUGCCCCUUCCUCCUUCUCUCAGUUUAUUUCUUCUUUUUUCUUCCUGCUUAGAAUGCAAAUAUGAAGCUGGCAGUCGUCUAGCCAUCUGGAGCUCAUGUGGCAACCAAGGGGAAGAAAGCUUUACUCCAGGGAUGCGGAAAGAGAGCUGGACGCAGCAGCUGGGUAUUUAUGUGAGUAAGACAAGACCAUAAUUAGUCAAGCCACUCCUGUGGCUGGGUUUCUGUUGUUUGCAGGUGAGGGGACUCAGCUGGAAUACACUGGAAUGGUCACCCCUGUUAUUAUGGCUGGUGUCUGUGCUGGCUGCUCAGUGCAUUGUUCUGGCACAACUGGUUAUCUAGAAACACACGGGCUGGAGCUGUGAGUCAUAGGUUACGGGUUUUGGACUUGGGGAGCUGAUGAAGAGUCUCAGAAAAUAGGGAAGGAAUUCUAAAGGGUGGGUGUGGAGGAGGCUAGGCAGCAAGAAACAAGCGUGGGACGAGGGAAAGAUGAAGUCAAAUCACUGUCGUUCAAUAGUGAUCAUUUCCUACCAACCUCCAGUGUCACCGCACAUUGAGGUCUUUCAUGGACCGCACACAGGACUAGGGAGGUGGCAUGGGAGAGCUUAGGCCUCAAAGAUCGGCAGAACUAAGUCUGAAUCUUGGAUCCCUCACUGAUAAGCUAUGUGAUCUUGGGCAAGUCACUUAGCUUGUCUGAGUUUUGUCUGGAAAAGAGGUAAUAAGACUUACAAAUAGAGAUGCGCCAAGAAAAACAUUUCAAAUAAAUUGAUGAGAAAAUGGAGGAAAACAAGCAGACAGCAGUGAGUCAGGCCACAGAGCAUGUGCUCCACCGUUCAGUACACUUGCUGGAAGCCCUCCAACAAACCGGCUCCCAGUCGAGCAGCCAAUGAAAAUGGCAAAACACAUCUAUUUUCAGACUCUCAGGACUCACAAAAUCAGGCAAGGUAGUUCCCUGGAAGACACACGGCCAUUCUUGGCACAGGAUUCAAGGAGAGAAAUGUCUUCCAUGGAUCUUCUUUAAGAAGACAUAGACGUAGUGAAGGCUGUUCUGAAGUAUUUUACACAAGACCAUCUUGAAAAAGUGGUUAAAUAAGUUUGGAAAGCCCCGUCUAUCAGGUCUCCUUGGGGAGUCCCACACUGAUCAAUGUUUUAAAGCCUCCGUGAAUCUCACAGCAAACAAACUAGCUUCCAGAGCUUCUGGAGCACAGAAGGGUAUCUUCCACGUCCUCUUCCUCUCGUUCCUGUUUUUCUGUAGCCGCUGUUAUCUAGAGUGUCAUGGAGCACUCGAAGGCAACUACUGGGCAGUGUUUUCCCCAACAGGAAGGGAAAGAAAGGUGUGGUGAGCUGAGGUUAUUCCUCGGAACUCCUGCAGAAGUCCUGGGCCCACUUCUGGAGUGCAGCCAGAAGGGAAUGGUAGUCUGAACCUUGACCUUAGCAGCUCAGGCCAGUUUCUUUGCGUGGGUUGGUUUUGUAGGUUCUAUAGAGCUAAGAGGCUGCCUCUCAAAGUCGCCUCCACUCACUCAUUGUCUUCCUGGGCUUGUGCCGUGUCUCUUCAAUCUUUGGAGCAUGAAGAUGCGGUGGAAGUCACAUGGAGAGAAGUCUGACAGGCAUCAAAACAGGCUUGGAGACUCCUGGGAGGUUCAGUGACCAGUCUCGUCCAAGGAACUGAAGACCUAAAGCAAUGUUGCCUGAAGAGACCUACACAACUUCCCGGAGGAAGGGGAUGCUUCACAGAUCGUGGAGGCUAUACACACAACCAGGACCAAGAUACAGCUCAGAAACUGGUGGGCUCUUAUCCUUUCAUUGCUGUUCACCUCACCCGGGGUCACUGGAUAAUGUCCAAGUUGUCGUAACUAACACAUGUAGAUCAACAAAUAAUGGGAGAGAGUGGGUAAGUGGCUGGGCUGCCGAAAUCGCACCUGAAGGAGUAGAUGUCAUUCAGAGCAUCCUACACAGGGUCCAACCGGCUGUGCUGACCCAGGUUCCUGAUUCUGUCCACACAGCACAGUCCAGUGGGUGGGGCCUGAUGGUAAAAGUACAGACGCUACCUAAAUCUGCAUUCAAAAUCCAGAUGAUCUGUCCUUUGGGGCCAUGCUGCGGAUCAGGAGUAUAAAGAAGGCUGAGGCCACCCAGAGCAAGGGGAGAGGAUCCUCUGCAGCUCGGCAGGAUUUCAAGCCCCACAAAGAUGAACUAGAGUUCACAGUGGGUACUAGCAAGCCAGAGUCAGAAAUCACUGCUCCAGAGACCAAAAGGGUGCCAGAGUUUCUCUUUCCUCUACAACGAAGAUGACCUGAUAUGAGGUAUAAGACUAGAAUUCGAAGACAUCCUAUCUUAGGCGGGGUAGGGUGUUGAAACAAGGUGCAUAUGCUUUCUCCUUUACGCUGUUAUUUUUUAAAGUGUGCUGAAAGCAGAGUUACAAUCUGAUUGUUAAUCUAGCACAGUUUGCUUUGCUGGAAACACUCAUUUUGAGGGGAAACCUGCUAUCCGCGGUACCUUAUCUCAUCAAGGUGUGACUUUCGACACAUGUUUCUAUUGGGUUGUUUUCGUCUUUUUCUUGCAAAUUUGAAAGAACUCUCUCUGUUAUAGAUAUCAAUACUGUAUUGACUAUCCUUGUUGCAAGUAUUUUUUUCAAACAAUUAUUUUUAUAUUGGCUUUUCUAGGGUCUGUUUUAUUCUACAAAAAUUUGAAAAAUUUAUGUAAUCAAAUGUGUUUAUCUUUUAUAGCUUCUGGAUUCUUUUGUCACUAUCGCUAGUAUAAGGAAAAGCUACUGAUUUUUUUGUGUUAGGAGUUUUUUCUCUUGGGUGUUCUAGAUAUACGAACAUGUAAAGUUUUGCUGAUUAUUUCUCUUUUUGUACUCACUGUGCUUGUUAGACCCUCUAAGAUAAUAUUAAAUUAUAAUGGUGGUGGCAGUCUGCUAUAUAUGGUUCCUGAACCUAACUGGUUUAGUUUUAAUAUUUUACCAUUUGGGGUGGUAUUUUUAGAGGAUUUUGGUAGCAAAUUUGAUCACAAAUAGUUCCACAAUUUCCUCUAUUUUGGAAAUAAUUGCUGCUAUUUUAUCAAAUAAUUGUUCAGUAUUUAUUAAUGCAAUCAUUUUGGUUUUGUUCUUUAAUUUGUUAAUCUAAUGCAUUAAGAGAAUAGAGUUCUAAUAUGGACCACCUUUUUGUGUUUAGAUAACAUCACUUGACCAUAAUCUAUUACUCUUUUGGUAGACUGCUGGAUCUCAUUCACAACUGCUUGAUUUUACUUACGAAUUUGUAAGAUUGCUAUCAUAGUUGCAUUCUAUCUUUAACAUAGAGUGGCUUCACAAAAUUAAACGGGACAUUUUCCAUCUUUUUCUAUGAGCUACAAUAAUUUAAAUAUCAUAGAAAUGAUCUAUCCCUUAAAGGUUAGGUAGAACUUAGUGUGAAAACAUCCACUUCUGGUAUCUUUUUUAAAGUAGAUAUUAGUUUACCUUUCUAAUUUUUCCACAGUAAUACACUUGCAACAACAUGUAUGAAUUAUUUUUGUAAUCUGAAAGCCAUCAAAAGAGGAAAAGAAAAUCAUAAGGCAGAAAGUAAAACUAGUCAGUGGUUAUUAUUAACAUUUUAAAAUAUAUGCUUCUGGUCUUUUCUCUAUGAAAGCUUUUCAGAUACUUACCGAUAGUAGUUGGUUGUCCCUCUCGUGGCAUUAGUAGCCACUGGUGAUCAUUGCCUGGAUGUAUUAAUUCAUUAGGGGUUACAAAGUGGUGACAUCAUCAUUCUAUCGUUUCUUCUUUAUUUAUUACCUGGACUACUUCUAUAAAAAGAAACUUCUCAAUUUGAUUGCAA